UGGGGAAUAUUGCACAAUGGGCGGAAGCCUGAUGCAGCGACGCCGCGUGGGGGAUGACGGCCUUCGGGUUGUAAACCUCUUUCAGUGCAGAACAAGGCGCUUUGUGGGUUGAGGGUAUGCGCAGAACAAGCGCCGGCUAACUACGUGCCAGCAGCCGCGGUAAUACGUAGGGGACGAGCGUUGUCCGGAAUUACUGGGCGUAAAGGGCGCGCAGGCUGUGCUGCAAGUCAGCUGUUAAAUGUCUGGGCUUAACCCGGGCAUGCGGUUGAGACUGCGGUGCUGGAGUGCUGUAGAGGCAAGUGGAAUUCCCAGUGUAGCGGUGAAAUGCGUAGAUAUUGGGAAGAACACCGGUGGCGAAGGCGACUUGCUGGGCAGCAACUGACGCUGAGGCGCGAAAGCCAGGGGAGCAAACGGG
rnacentral:rRNA from 1 species